rnacentral:rRNA from 1 species
CCUACGGGCGGCAGCAGUGGGGAAUAUUGCACAAUGGGGGAAACCCUGAUGCAGCGACGCCGCGUGAGUGAAGAAGUAUUUCGGUAUGUAAAGCUCUAUCAGCAGGGAAGAAAAUGACGGUACCUGAAUAAGAAGCCCCGGCUAACUACGUGCCAGCAGCCGCGGUAAUAUGUAGGGGGCAAGCGUUAUCCGGAUUUACUGGGUGAAAAGGGAGCGUAGACGGCAGCACAAGUCUGGAGUGAAAUGCCGGGGCUUAACCCCGGAACUGCUUUGGAAACUGUGCAGCUAGAGUGCAGGAGAGGUAAGUGGAAUUCCGAGUGUAGCGGUGAAAUGCGUAGAUAUUAGGAGGAACACCAGUGGCGAAGGCGGCUUACUGGACUGUAACUGACGUUGAGGCUCGAAAGCGUGGGGAGCAAACAGGAUUAGAUACCCGAGUAGUC